rnacentral:lncRNA from 1 species
ACCUGAGGCGGGUGCCCAGGGCGAGGCACUGCUCCUUCCUCGCCAGCUUCAGCAGAUUGGGGCCCUGCCGCAUGAUUGCGGCGCCGCCGGUGGGCAUCUCGAAGACCUGCUCCUUGGGGGAGUCCCAGGUGAUCACGUAGAACUCCUCCACCUGCGCCUUCCUCAGGAGGCCCCCCGUGCUGCCGGCGAAGAUCGGCGAGGGCGUGUUGGGGUCCAGCUGCGGGGGGGUGAACCCUGCGGGGGCCUUCUCCUCCGCUGCCGGCGCCGCCGUCUCCUCGGUGGCGCGGGUCCUAAGGCUGCCGCGCGAGGCGGAGCCCAGCGGCUUCGCGGCGGCGAGCUUCCACGGCACCGCCACCCGCGCGGGGGCCGCGGAGGUGGUGGGCUUCGCCGCGAGGGUGGUGGGGGUGAAGACGGUGGCUUGCGUCGCCAUGGCCAUCGGUGGAUUCCUCGCUCCUCCUCUGCGACUAGUGGGUGAUGGGGAGGAAGAAAGGGGCGAGCUUGAUCUUAGAU